AGAGUUUGAUCCUGGCUCAGAAUGAACGCUGGCGGCGUGCUUAACACAUGCAAGUCGCACGAGAAAGCCGAAAGCUUGCUUUUGGCGAGUAAAGUGGCGCACGGGUGAGUAAGGCGUGGAUAAUCUGCCUUCGAGUCCGGGAUAACACUUCGAAAGAGGUGCUAAUACUGGAUGACAUCACGGGGACUCCGGUUUUUGUGAUCAAAGAUGGCCUCUGCAUGCAAGCUAUCGCUUGAAGAUGAGUCCGCGUACCAUUAGCUUGUUGGUGGGGUAACGGCCUACCAAGGCGACGAUGGUUAGCUGGUCUGAGAGGAUGAUCAGCCACACUGGCACUGAUACACGGGCCAGACUCCUACGGGAGGCAGCAGUGAGGAAUUUUGCGCAAUGGGGGAAACCCUGACGCAGCAACGCCGCGUGAGUGAAGAAGGCCUUCGGGUCGUAAAGCUCUGUCAAGUGGGAAGAACCCUUUUGGUGUUAACAGCACCGGGAGCUGACGGUACCACUUAAGGAAGCACCGGCUAACUCCGUGCCAGCAGCCGCGGUAAUACGGAGGAUGCAAGCGUUAUCCGGAUUCAUUGGGUUUAAAGGGUGCGCAGGCGGAGGUGUAAGUCAGAGGUGAAAGCCCACAGCUUAACUGUGGAAUGGCCUUUGAUACUGCACGUCUUGAGUCUAGCUGAGGUAGGCGGAAUGUAGUAUGUAGCGGUGAAAUGCUUAGAUAUACUACAGAACACCCAUUGCGAAGGCAGCUUACCAAACUAGCACUGACGCUCAGGCACGAAAGCGUGGGUAGCCAACAGGAUUAGAUACCCUGGUAGUCCACGCCGUAAACGUUGAUCACUCGUUGUUGGCAAUAUAUCGUCAGCGACUCAGCAAAAGCUUUAAGUGAUCCACCUGGGGAGUACGAUCGCAAGGUUGAAACUCAAAGGAAUUGACGGGGGCCCGCACAAGCGGAGGAGCAUGUGGUUUAAUUCGAUGAUACGCGAGGAACCUUACCCGGGCUUAAAUGUAGGUUGCAUUUCCGUGAAAACGGAAUUUCCUUCGGGACCGCCUACAAGGUGCUGCAUGGUUGUCGUCAGCUCGUGCCGUGAGGUGUCGGGUUAAGUCCCAUAACGAGCGCAACCCCUAUCUUUAGUUGCCAGUCCCGGCCUAGUCCGGGAGGGACUCUAAAGAAACUGCCCGCGCAAGCGGUGAGGAAGGUGGGGAUGACGUCAAAUCAGCACGGCCCUUAUGUCCGGGGCUACACACGUGCUACAAUGGCCGGUACAGUGGGCAGCUUGUGCGCGAGCAUUUGCUAAUCCCUAAAACCGGUCUCAGUCCGGAUUGGAGUCUGCAACCCGACUCCAUGAAGCUGGAUUCGCUAGUAAUCGCAUAUCAGCCAUGGUGCGGUGAAUACGUUCCCGGGCCUUGUACACACCGCCCGUCAAGCCAUGGAAGCUGGGGGUACCUGAAGUCCGUAACCGUUAAGGAGCGGCCUAGGGUAAAACCGGUGACUGGGGCUAAGUCGUAACAAGGU
rnacentral:rRNA from 1 species